GGGGAAUAUUGCACAAUGGGGGAAACCCUGAUGCAGCAACGCCGCGUGAGCGAUGAAGGCCUUCGGGUCGUAAAGCUCUGUCUUCGCUGACGAUAAUGACGGCAAGCGAGGAGGAAGCCACGGCUAACUACGUGCCAGCAGCCGCGGUAAUACGUAGGUGGCAAGCGUUGUCCGGAAUUAUUGGGCGUAAAGGGUGCGUAGGCGGUUUUUUAAGUGGGAUGUGAAAUACUAGGGCACAACCUUAGAAUUGCAUUCCAAACUGGAAGGCUAGAGUGCAGGAGAGGAAAGCGGAAUUCCCAGUGUAGCGGUGAAAUGCGUAGAGAUUGGGAGGAACACCAGUGGCGAAGGCGGCUUUCUGGACUGUAACUGACGCUGAGGCACGAAAGCGUGGAGAGCAAAC
rnacentral:rRNA from 1 species